UAAACAAGGCCUGAGUGCAAGGUGUCACCCAACUUGGCAGCCUGGGCCCGGGCUGCGGCAUGCGGCCCUGCGAGGGGAUCAUCUCGCCGGAGACCGGAGUCAUCUUCGACUCGCCUCCCGCCGGCCGGACACUCGAACCUCAUGUCGUCCGCCGGUCUGCGGAGUUCACGCCUCCCACGGCGCACAGGCGCUCUCUCGGUGCGUCCGACGCGCCGUUCUGUCUCUCUCGCGCCGGCUCACCCGUCGCCUGGAAGUUGCAGCCGUGAGUCAGUGACUGCCUCCGCCAUCAACCACCCCGCUCGAGUUGGCUCCCUCCAAUCCCAGGUGGCGCAUUGUUUGUUCUUCGUUGCAAAGAGUUAUAUCAUCCGAAAGAGGUUGGGUCCUGGAGAUUGUACCAGUCGCGCCAAAAUGUAAUUGUGCAAAGAUGAAGAAAAUGGGAAAAAGCAAAGGAAGGAUGUGUCUUUCUGGGGAAAGCCAUCACUUUGUACAAAAGUGGUGGAUGUCUGGUGUUCAAGAGGUUUAUGCAUCAGGAUACGCUGGAGAAGCAAAGUGUGCUUUGAUGUCACUCGCUGUGUAGUUAUUUUAUUUUGGUGAAAAUAGCAUUUCCUUUCCAACUAUGAUGUGUUAUGCACAUUGGUAAAAGUGACGAGUUCACCUUUUUUUUAAUAAAAAAAGUAUGUUUUUGUAAUCUGACUAAUGUAAGGUGUGACUGCCAUACCUGAUCAGAUAGUAGUAUAUCUUCCUUUAAGUUGCAAUA